GUGCUUGCUUUGGCAGAACAUACACUAAAAUUGGAACAAUACAAAGAUUAGCACAGCCCCUGCGCAAGGAUGACACACAAAUUUAUGAAUUGUUCCAUAUUUUU
ensembl:snRNA U6 U6 spliceosomal RNA